CUGAAUUCAAAUGAAACGCCGGGGAGCGAUUAGGGAGUGAACUUGCCAUCGCCAGACUACUCCGUCCUCAGCCGAACCAAAUGAUCUGCUACUUCGCGCGCAGGUCCCUCCACGUGUCCCGAACACCCCACUGGAAGCUCCGGGACGAGUACAAGCUCACCCAGUUACACGACCGCAUAUCCCGCCUCCUCCUCCUCCAGCGCUACGACGCCCUUCACCAGCUCUCCUUUGAUUUCUCCGACCGCCUCCUCAGCACCGUCCUCCGCCAACUGAAGCUCAACCCUGCCGCCUGCUUAGCCUUUUUCAAAUUGGCUUCCAAGCAGCACAAGUACAGGCCCAACAUCAAGUCUUACUGUAUGAUUGUUCAUAUCUUGUCCAGAGCUCGAAUGCACGACCAAACCAGAGCGUAUUUGAACGAACUGGUCCGUCUCUGCAGCAACCAUUGUUCAGCAUUCGUGGUCUGGGAUGAGCUUGUUCGCGUUUACAGGGAAUUUACGUUUUCGCCAACGGUUUUUGAUAUGGUUCUCAACGUGUUUGCUGAGAAGGGCAUGACCAAGUAUGCACUUCAUGUGUUUGAUAAUAUGGGUAAGUGCGGUCGAGUUCCUAGUCUGAGGUCUUGUAAUUCAUUGUUGAGUAAUUUGGUCAGAAACGGUGAAUGUUUCAAUGCAUUGCUUGUUUAUGAGCAGAUAAAUAGGUUGGGGAUUGUUCCCGAUGUUUAUACCUGUUCGAUAAUGGUGAAUGCGUAUUGUAAGGAAGGGAGGCUCAGUAGAGCGGUGGAGUUUGUCAAAGAGAUGGAAAGUUUGGGUUUUGAAUUAAAUGUGGUGACUUAUAAUAGUCUGAUUAAUGGGUACAUCAGUUCGGGAGAUGUUGAAGGAGCCCGAUUGGUGUUGGGGUUUAUGUCUGAGAAAGGAAUUGAGAGAAAUGUGGUGAGUUAUACACUGUUGAUUAAGGGUUACUGCAAGCGGUGUAAGAUGGAGGAAGCGGAGAAGGUGCUUCAAGGUAUGAAGGAGGAGGGGGACAAGUCUGUGGUUGUGGAUGAACGUGCUUAUGGUGUCUUGUUAGAUGGGUAUUGUAAAUCUGGCAGAAUGGAUGAUGCUAUUAGGAUUCGGGAUGAGAUGUUGACCAUGGGUUUAAGUAUGAAUAUUUUCAUUUGCAACUCCUUGAUCAAUGGGUACUGCAAGGUCGGUCAAGUUCGUGACGCGGAGGGAGUGUUGUUGCGGAUGAGAUAUUGGAACUUAAACCCUGAUUCAUAUAGUUAUAAUACUCUUAUGGAUGGGUAUUGUAAGAAAGGUCAGACAAGUGAUGCAUUGAAGCUUUUUGAUGAGAUGCUUCAGGAAGGAAUCCAUCACACUGUUAUAACUUAUAAUACACUUCUCAAGGGUUUAUGUCAAGCGGGUGCUUUUGAUGAUGCCUUGCAUCUUUGGCAUCUAAUGUUGAAAAGAGGGUUGGCUCCUGAUGAGGUUAGCUAUUGUUCUCUGCUUGAUGCGGUUUUGAAGAAGGAAGAUCUUGAUGGGGCUAUAACUCUGUGGAAAGAUAUUCUAGCAAAGGGUUUUACCAAAAGUAAGUUUGCUUUCAAUACAAUGAUUAAUGGGUUAUGCAAGAUGGGAAAAAUGGUUGAAGCGGGAAAGGUUUUCGAAAAGAUGAAGGAGCUAGGAUGUUUACCUGAUGAGAUGACUUAUAGAACCCUGAGUGAUGGGUACUGUAAAAUUGGGAACGUUGAAGAAGCUUUCAAAGUUAAGAGUUUGAUGGAAGGGCAAGCAAUACUUCCUUCCAUUGAAAUGUACAAUUCUCUCAUCAAUGGUGUCUUUAUGUCCAGGAAAUUAAGUAAAGUGAAUGGUCUUCUUGCUGAGAUGCAGACAAGGGGAUUAACCCCGGAUAUUGUUACAUAUGGAGCCCUGAUCACUGGUUGGUGCAAUGAAGGGAUGCUGGAUAAAGCUUUGAGUUCAUAUUUUGAGAUGAUUGACAAAGGGUUCACCACCAAUUUAAUUAUUUGCAGCAAAGUUGUCAGUACUCUGUAUAGGCUUGGUAGGAUUGAUGAAGGAAAUAGUCUGUUGCAGAAGCUAUUGGAUUUUGAUUUUUUUUCAGAUCAGCAAUGUUUUUCGAAGCUUUGCAAAGUUGGCAGUAGAAAUCAAGAAAUUCAAAAAUUUGCAGAUUCUCUUGAUGAAAGUGCUGAAGGUUUCUCUCUGACCAACCCGGUUGUAUACAAUAUUGCUAUCUUGGGGCUCUGCAGAUCAGGGAAAGUUGCUGAUGCAAGGAGAUUAAUAUCGUCGUUAUUGCUCAAUGGUAUUUCUCCAGACAAUUUUACAUAUUGCACUCUAAUCAAUGCCACUGCUGCUGCUGGUAAUGUGACUGAGGCUUUCAACUUACGAGAUGAAAUGCUGAAGAGGGAUCUUGUUCCUAACAUUACCACAUAUAAUGCUCUUAUAAAUGGCUUGUCCAAAUCAGGAAAUUUGGAUAGAGCACAGAGGCUUUUCCGUAAACUUUACCGAAAGAAGUUAGUUCCUAAUGAUGUUACCUACAAUAUAAUGAUUGGUGGAUACUGCAGAAUUGGAAAUACUGUGGAAGCGUUUAAAUUUUGGAACGAGAUGAUUCGACAAGGGAUUGCUCCCUCUGUUAUCACUUACUCUGCAUUGAUCAAUGGUCUUUAUAAGCAAGGAAAUUUGGAAGAAUCUGUGAAGCUUUUGAGUCAACUGAUCAAGGUGGGAGUGCAGCAUAACCUUGUUAAUUACAUACUCCAGUUUGGUUCAAAGCAUUGAAUGAAGGGUGAGGGUACAAAGAAUUUGGAAUUUGGCUCUCAGUGUCAGCUCUGAGUUGUCAAGGUUGAGAUGGUGCCUUGUGUUCUUGGGUUGGACCAGCCAUCAUUUCAGCUUCAGUUUCAGGCACAAGGCUAAGGUAGCUAGAAUUGCAAUCUCAACCUUCACUUGUUACUCUGCGAAGGUCGCCAAUAAUGAUAAAGCAGAGGCUAGACUAGCGAAAGAGAAAAACGUAUCGGUGAUUCUUUUGGCUUGAGGGAAGGGCAGGAUGAGGGUAAGUCUUGUUGGAUACCAUGUUUUUAUCUCCCUAUAUUCCCCAUUUGAUCAUCAAAUUCUCAUCUUCAUGUACAUUUGCCUGUGUAUGAAUGGAAUAUGAAUUCAAAUGCUAUAUCAUCUUUAA